CGGGACGGGUGAGUAAUGUCUGGGAAACUGCCCGAUGGAGGGGGAUAACUACUGGAAACGGUAGCUAAUACCGCAUAACGUCGCAAGACCAAGAGGGGACCUUCGGGCCUCUUGCCAUCGGAUGUGCCCAGAUGGGAUUAGCUAGUAGGUGGGGUAACGGCUCACCUAGGCGACGAUCCCUAGCUGGUCUGAGAGGAUGACCAGCCACACUGGAACUGAGACACGGUCCAG
rnacentral:rRNA from 1 species